GUAGGGAGCGAGCGUUAAUCGGAAUUACUGGGCGUAAAGCGUGCGCAGGCGGUUAUGUAAGACAGAUGUGAAAUCCCCGGGCUCAACCUGGGAACUGCAUUAGUGACUGCAUAGCUGGAGUACGGCAGGGGGGGAUGGAAUUCCGCGUGUAGCAGUGAAAUGCGAAGAUAUGCGGAGGAACACCGAUGGCGAAGGCAAUCCCCUGGGCCUGUACUGACGCUCAUGCACGAAAGCGUGGGGAGCAAACAGGAUUAGAUACCCUGGUAGUCCACGCCCUAAACGAUGUCAACUGGUUGUUGGGUCUUCACUGACUCAGUAACGAAGCUAACGCGUGAAGUUGACCGCCUGGGGAGUACGGCCGCAAGGUUG
rnacentral:rRNA from 1 species